rnacentral:rRNA from 1 species
CAAUAGCGUAUAUUAAAGUUGUUGCAGUUAAAAAGCUCGUAGUUGGAUUUCUGGUUUCCUGUUUUCCCGACUCGAAUGAGUAUGAGGAGAGUGGGGAUGCCAUAUUUGUGAGGGCCUUUUCUGUCAUUAACUUGAUGGGAUUGUGAAUCACAUCUUUUACUGUGAAAAAAUUAGAGUGUUUAAAGCAGGCAUUUCGCUGUGAAUACAUUAGCAUGGAAUAAUAAGAUAGGACUUUGGUGCUAUUUUAUUGGUUUGCACACCAAAGUAAUGAUUAACAGGGACAGUUGGGGGUAUUCGUAUUUAGUUGUCAGAGGUGAAAUUCUUGGAUUUACGAAAGACGAACUACUGCGAAAGCAUUUACCAAGGAUGUUUUCAUUAA